rnacentral:tRNA from 1 species
UGCGGGGUAGCGCAGCGGCAGCGCGCCGGGCUCAUAACCCGAGAGGACGCCGGUUCGAGUCCGGCCCCCGCCAC